AGAUGAGAAGGCAGUGUGAUGAUGGGAGCAGAGACUGCAGUGAGGCAGCCGUAAGCCAAAGGUUGCUGGCAGCCUUGAAAAGCUGGGAGAAAUGAGGAACAGAUUUUCCUCCAGAGCCUCCAGAAAGAACCAGCCCUGUCACACACAUUGAUUUUUAACCUUUAGGACUCAUUUCUGAUUUCUGAUCUCCAGAACUAUGGUAAAGAAUUUGCCUGCAAUGCCGGAGACCCAUUCGAUCAGUUCUUCAGGUUCUAUGUUGAAGUGAAUUUGAAACCAAUGGGAGGAGGAAGUCCAUGACAAGAACAGGAUUGGCUCCUAAACCGUCAGGCCACGGGAGUUUCCAGCAAGGCAAGGAUGGGGACUCCUAAUGCUAGCACUGUACUUUUUUAUAUCAGGCAAAUAAAUUGGCAGCUAAAUACUCUACAUUCUAUUAGUAUGAAUUGAUUGAACACUGAUUAGUCCAUUUCAAGUUUUUUCUUUCUAAAAUCUAUAAAACAAUAUUACUAAGUCUUUGGUGCAGAAAAUAAGGUUGGGCUAUUUAUUCUCCAGCUCCCUUCCUGUGAUACCCCUUCAGACUGCUGGUGUCACAGCUCCUCUGUCUUGGAUUCUGGUAACCUCCCUCUCCUCCUGCUCUUUUGGAACUUUACUGCUGUUAGCCCUGGGUCCUUGCAGGAUCCCUAUAUCUCUCCCACAUUUUCAAAAUAGGCUGGUGAUAUGCUGGUAGAUAGCUGGGGCUGAGGGGUGUGGGAGAGACUUAACUUGUAGCACCUGCCACUUGCUCUGGUGUAAAUAUUCCUGUCAUGGCCCAUCUCAAGCUACCAGUGUGAACUCACUGAACACAGAGUUGGGAGGCAAUGCUAAGAGGUGGCUUUUAUAAACUGUUAUGAGCCAGCUCCAGCACAGUACUC
ensembl:lncRNA